AAGAAGAACAAUUGUCCCAACGGAGAUAACAAGGACUGCUCGAAGAGGACUGCCCCUGCGAGUCCAACAAAGAACAUCGCGACCAAAGUUUCUGCAAGCUUGUCCAACAGCAGGGCCAUUCUCAGCGACGGAGACCUUGACGCGUUGAAACAGAGAAGAACCCUUAGUUUCAUCGGGAAAGAAAAUGUCGGCGAACAGACGGCGGAGAGGUUCAUAAACGGUCUGAUCCUCAAUACGCACUCCUUUAGAUUGGUAACUGGUUGUAUCUUCUUCCUCAACCGGCACGGUGGCAUUCCGAUCACUGGAGUCGUACGCCUCCGCCAUUUUUGAGGGGCUCCGGCGAAUCUUGAGAAUCAAUAAAUAGUGAAAUUGCGAACUAAGUCAAUAAGUCGGGUG
rnacentral:misc_RNA from 1 species